AACGCACAUUGCGCCCGUUGGCAUUCCAACGGGCAUGCCUGUUCGAGCGUCAUUGGCUUCUCCAGCCCUGCUGGGUGCUGGGCGAGUGGGGCGCCACGCGCGUCCCUCGCCUCAAAUGCAUUGGCCGCCCGCCGUCCCGGGAAGGAGCGCAGCACAGUCCGCGCGCCUCACCGGGGGGCGGUGUCCACAAGUGGCUUCUACGCUUGACCUCGGAUCAGGUAGGGAUACCCGCUGAACUUAA
rnacentral:misc_RNA from 1 species